ensembl:snRNA U6 U6 spliceosomal RNA
GUGCUUGCUUUGGCAGUACAUUUACUCAAAUUUGAACAAUACAGAGAAGAUUAGUAUGGGUUCUGUGCAAGGAUGACAUGAAAAUUUGUGAAAUGUGUUCUAUGUUU